rnacentral:rRNA from 1 species
AAUCAACGCUGGCGGCGUGCCUAACACAUGCAAGUCGAACGAGAAAGGGGGCUUCGGUCCCUGAGUACAGUGGCGCACGGGUGAGUAACACGUGAUUUAUCUACCCUCGAGUGGGGAAUAACUUCGGGAAACCGAGGCUAAUACCGCAUAAUACCCACGGGUCAAAGGAGCAAUUCGCUUGAGGAGGAGGUCGCGGCCGAUUAGUUAGUUGGCGGGGUAAUGGCCCACCAAGACAGUGAUCGGUAUCCGGCCUGAGAGGGCGCACAGACACACUGGAACUGAAACACGGUCCAGACUCCUACGGGAGGCAGCAGUGGGGAAUUUUGCGCAAUGGGGGAAACCCUGACGCAGCAACGCCGCGUGGAGGAUGAAGUCUCUUGGGACGUAAACUCCUUUCGAUCGGGACGAUUAUGACGGUACCGGAAGAAGAAGCCCCGGCUAACUUCGUG